UACGUAGGGGGCAAGCGUUGUCCGGAUUUAUUGGGCGUAAAGAGCUCGUAGGCGGCUAUUCACGUCGGAUGUGAAAACUCAGGGCUUAACCCUGAGCCUGCUUCCGAUACGGGCAGACUAGAGGUAUGCAGGGGAGAACGGAAUUCCUGGUGUAGCGGUGAAAUGCGCAGAUAUCAGGAGGAACACCGGUGGCGAAGGCGGUUCUCUGGGCAUUACCUGACGCUGAGGAGCGAAAGUGUGGGGAGCGAACAGG
rnacentral:rRNA from 1 species